UACGUAGGGUGCAAGCGUUGUCCGGAAUUAUUGGGCGUAAAGAGCUCGUAGGCGGUUCGUCGCGUCGGCUGUGAAAUCCCGAGGCUCAACCUCGGGUCUGCAGUCGAUACGGGCGGACUUGAGUUCGGUAGGGGAGCGGGGAAUUCCUGGUGUAGCGGUGAAAUGCGCAGAUAUCAGGAGGAACACCGGUGGCGAAGGCGCCGCUCUGGGCCGAAACUGACGCUGAGGAGCGAAAGCGUGGGGAGCGAACAGG
rnacentral:rRNA from 1 species